AUUGAACGCUGGCGGCAGGCUUAACACAUGCAAGUCGAGCGGGGGAAGGUAGCUUGCUACUGGACCUAGCGGCGGACGGGUGAGUAAUGCUUAGGAAUCUGCCUAUUAGUGGGGGACAACAUCUCGAAAGGGAUGCUAAUACCGCAUACGUCCUACGGGAGAAAGCAGGGGAUCUUCGGACCUUGCGCUAAUAGAUGAGCCUAAGUCGGAUUAGCUAGUUGGUGGGGUAAGGGCCUACCAAGGCGACGAUCUGUAGCGGGUCUGAGAGGAUGAACCGAACCACUGGGACUGAGACACGGCCCAGACUCCUACGGGAGGCAGCAGUGGGGAAAAUUGGACAAUGGGGGGAACGCGGAGCCAGCCAUGCCGCGUGUGUGAAGAAGGCCUUAUGGUUGUAAAGCACUUUAAGCGAGGAGGAGGCUACUCUAGUUAAUACCUAGGGAUAGUGGACGUUACUCGCAGAAUAAGCACCGGCUAACUCUGUGCCAGCCGCCGCCGUAA
rnacentral:rRNA from 1 species